UUACAAACCAACAAGCUGUGAAAAAAAACAAGGAAAGACGUUACCGGAUCGGAAGGAGACGAUGGCGGCGAGGCGCAGUGGUGACUGGCGGCGGUCUGAGUUGGCUUCCGUGGUGUCCGAUUCAGAUCUUGCUUCUUUUCUUCUCAAUUUUCGUAGAAUCAGAGGGUGAUUGCAUCGAUGCUGGUUGUGGCACAAUCCGUCGGUUCUGAGCAUCGCGGUGGUGGGCUUUGGAUGACGCGGUUGUCGGUGUUCUACGGCUUCACCAUUUCGCGUUGUUAGGUUGAACUGGUGGAUUGUUCGUAUUGGUGUUGCGGUAACUUGGUGUUGUUGCUGUUGAGGAUGAUGAUGAUGAUGAUGGUUAAUGUUGAAUACACCAGAAGCUUCAGCCAU